rnacentral:rRNA from 1 species
UAAUACGGAGGGUGCAAGCGUUAAUCGGAAUUACUGGGCGUAAAGCGUGCGCAGGCGGUUUGUUAAGUCUGCUGUGAAAUCCCCGAGCUCAACUUGGGAAUUGCAGUGGAUACUGGCAAGCUGGAGUAUGGUAGAGGAAGGUGGAAUUCCCGGUGUAGCAGUGAAAUGCGUAGAGAUCGGGAGGAACACCAGUGGCGAAGGCGGCCUUCUGGACCAAUACUGACGCUCAUGCACGAAAGCGUGGGGAGCAAACAGGAUUAGAUACCCUGGUAGUCCACGCCCUAAACGAUGCGAACUGGAUGUUGGGCACAUUACGGUGCUCAGUGUCGAAGCUAACGCGUUAAGUUCGCCGCCUGGGGAGUACGGUCGCAAGACUG